GCUGGGAGAUGAUGUAAACAAAAGGCCGAAUUGUAGCGCCUCCGCCAGGCAGUGUGUUCUCAGAGCGGAGGCGCCCUGACAAAGACUGACCGAAGCGUUGAUCUGAUCCCAGG
ensembl:snoRNA